AUCUCAUUAUUUGGGUAUUUCAAGAGAUUUUUCUUAAAUCUCCCCCAUGCUUCAUACCACAACUCAUCAUGAAAUUAACAAAAGCUUGAGAUUUUAUCCCUCAAUAU
rfam:Capsicum annuum cultivar Zunla-1 chromosome 4, whole genome shotgun sequence